rnacentral:lncRNA from 1 species
UAACACCGAUUGCCACCGUCUAUAAAUCUCCUCUCACAUUUAUUUUUUUUUCCUUUUCCAUAAGAAAACCAACCAAAAAGAUUUCUCAAAAGCUUCUGCGUUACUUCAUCCAUUCACAAAUCUUUACUUUUAAUUUCCUUUUAAAGAAUAAUUUUGAUUUCCAUUUUAAAAAAAUCGGAAAUGUGCCAAUGGAGGUAUGCAUUUUUUUACUUAAGUCAUUGAUACUUUUCCGAAGAAAUUAUCUCCUCUGAAUUUUUUAUAUAAAAUCGAUUAUUUCUGCUAAGAAAUUGAGAUUUGUAAUCGUAUCUUUCAAAAAAGAGUUUUUUAGAGCAAAACGAUUGCUUGCUAAGAUUGGAGAAACCCUAUUUUUCCCAAUAUCUUUAUCCUUAAAACGAAAUUUUAAAGUGUUAUGCAUCCUUGAUUAGGCUAAACUGUAAAUUCAUAAGUGUCCAAGUAGCAUUUCUUUAAUAGUUUCUUUAAUAAAAUUGCAAUAAUUUGUCUAGAAAUUCCCUUUUCUAAAAGUAAUAUAAAAUCAUUCCUUCUCUUUUGCAGAAUUCACCCAGUGUUGAUAGACUUCCGACCUUGGUGGGUGGAGAUGUGAGUUCAAGCUCAAGUCGUGGCUCGUCUCCUGAAAUUCAACGAAGACGAAGUCUGAAACAAAGUAACUCAACAGGUCCUCCAAUACCUCCGCGAACCGCACCCCCACCUGUUCCUGUCCGAACUCCAUCAGUAGAUUCGAACUCAGUACCUUUGAGGCACAGGCAUUCAAUAGAUGCAGUUGAUGGAAAUCAAAUGCGACAAUCCUACAGUAAUCGCAACAAUCAUCAUCAAAAUGGAGGUGUUCAAGAGUACAGGAACUCUUAUGAUCUUUCCUCACCACCUCCACCUUUACCAGCUACAGCACCUCCAACAAGAGGCGCUCAAAGAGAUCCAUGGCCAAAUGACAUCAACUCAUCUUAUCGACAUGGCACUAUUUAUGGAAAUCUAGCACCUGCUGUACGACCGCAACCUCUUGGAAUACCAACUCAGCCUCAGGGAAGAGCAGCCACUCUACCGCCUUACAUCAAUGCACCACCAGCCAACAUGUACCAGCAAGUCAACAAUGAUAAUAACCAAUACAGGCCUAGUGAAAGCUCUAGUGAAAGUGAACAACAAGGACCAAUAGUGCGCAAAGAUAAACGAUCAAAUGUAUUAGCUUCCUUAUUCAAGAAGAAACGAGCCACUCACCUCUAA